rnacentral:rRNA from 1 species
AUGAUGGGUAAUACUGUAUAAUCCCUGCGGGGGAAAGAUUUAUCGCUAUUAGAUGAGCCUACGUUAGAUUAGCUAGUUGGUAAGGUAAUGGCUUACCAAGGCUAUGAUCUAUAGCUGGUCUGAGAGGACGAUCAGCCACACUGGAACUGAGAUACGGUCCAGACUCCUACGGGAGGCAGCAGUGGGGAAUAUUGGACAAUGGGCGAAAGCCUGAUCCAGCUAUGCCGCGUGAGUGAAGAAGGCCUUCGGGUUGUAAAGCUCUUUCAAUAGGGAAGAUAAUGACGGUACCUAUAGAAGAAGUCCCGGCAAACUCCGUGCCAGCAGCCGCGGUAAUACGGAGGGGGCAAGCGUUGUUCGGAAUUAUUGGGCGUAAAGGGCACGUAGGUGGACUAGUAAGUUAAAAGUGAAAUACCAAAGCUUAACUUUGGAGCUGCUUUUAAUACUGCUAGACUAGAGGUCGAAAGAGGAUAGCGGAAUUCCUAGUGUAGAGGUGAAAUUCGUAGAUAUUAGGAGGAACACCAGUGGCGAAGGCGGCUAUCUGGUUCGAUACUGACACUGAGGUGCGAAAGCGUGGGGAGCAAACAGGAUUAGAUACCCUGGUAGUCCACGCUGUAAACGAUGAGUGCUAAAUGUGAGGAUUUUAUCUUUGUAUUGUAGCUAACGCGUUAAGCACUCCGCCUGGGGACUACGGUCGCAAGACUAAAACUCAAAGGAAUUGACGGGGACCCGCACAAGCGGUGGAGCAUGUGGUUUAAUUCGAUGCUACGCGAAAAACCUUACCACUUUUUGACAUGAAGGUCGUAUCCCUCCUAACAGGGGGAGUCAGUUCGGCUGGACCUUACACAGGUGCUGCAUGGUUGUCGUCAGCUCGUGUCGUGAGAUGUUGGGUUAAGUCCCGCAACGAGCGCAACCCUCAUCCUUAGUUACCAACAGGUAAUGCUGGGCACUCUAAGGAAACUGCCAGUGAUAAACUGGAGGAAGGUGGGGAUGAUGUCAAAUCAGCACGGCCCUUAUAAGGUGGGCUACACACGUGCUACAAUGGCAACUACAAUAGGUUGCGAGACCGCAAGGUUUAGCUAAUCCAUAAAAGUUGUCUCAGUUCGGAUUGUUCUCUGCAACUCGAGAGCAUGAAGUCGGAAUCGCUAGUAAUCGUGGAUCAUCACGCCACGGUGAAUACGUUCUCGGGUCUUGUACACACUGCCCGUCACGCCAUGG